ensembl:snRNA U6 U6 spliceosomal RNA
AUGCUCACUUCAGCAGCACAUAUACUAAAAUUGAAACAAUACAGAGAAGAUUAGCAUGGCCCCUACACAAGGAUGACACGCAAAUUUGUGAAGUGUUCCAUAAAAAA